rnacentral:misc_RNA from 1 species
AUUUUCCUGCUCGCCCAUUUCCCUUCAUAAAUACUCGCUAAAUAAAUAAAUCCGACCGUCCUCAAACCCUAUCAACUCAUAGCCGAUCAACGCGACAAAUGCUGAGGCUUGCGUCGAAGAGAUUGCUUGGGCAGGCGCCUCCACGGCCCGCUCAGAUCCUGUCGCGUUUCUACCACGAGAACGUGAUCGAUCACUUCAAUAACCCCCGUAACGUCGGUUCCUUCGACAAGAACGAUCCGACAGUGGGAACGGGGCUCGUCGGUGCUCCAGCUUGUGGGGAUGUCAUGAAGCUGCAGAUUAAGGUCGACGAGAAGACUGGAGAGAUUGUUGAUGCUCGCUUCAAGACUUUCGGCUGUGGCUCCGCGAUUGCCUCCUCUUCUGU